rnacentral:rRNA from 1 species
UACGGAGGGGGCUAGCGUUGUUCGGAAUUACUGGGCGUAAAGCGCACGUAGGCGGAUCAGCAAGUUAGGGGUGAAAUCCCGGGGCUCAACCCCGGAACUGCCUUUAAAACUGUUGGUCUGGAGGUCGAGAGAGGUGAGUGGAAUUCCGAGUGUAGAGGUGAAAUUCGUAGAUAUUCGGAGGAACACCAGUGGCGAAGGCGACACGCUGGGCCGUACCUGACACUGAUGCGCGACAGCAUGGGGAGCAAACAGG